AGAGUUUGAUCCUGGCUCAGGACGAACGCUGGCGGCGUGCUUAACACAUGCAAGUCGAGCGGUAAGGCCCUUCGGGGUACACGAGCGGCAAACGGGUGAGUAACACGUGAGUAAUCUGCCCUUCACUUCGGGAUAACCACCGGAAACGGUGGCUAAUACCGGAUACGACCAUCGGUUGCAUGACCUGGUGGUGGAAAGUUCUGGCGGUGGAGGAUGAGCUCGCGGCCUAUCAGCUUGUUGGUGGGGUAGUGGCCUACCAAGGCGACGACGGGUAGCCGGCCUGAGAGGGUGACCGGCCACACUGGGACUGAGACACGGCCCAGACUCCUACGGGAGGCAGCAGUGGGGAAUAUUGGACAAUGGGCGAAAGCCUGAUCCAGCAACGCCGCGUGAGGGAUGACGGCCUUCGGGUUGUAAACCUCUUUCAGUACCGACGAAGCGCAAGUGACGGUAGGUACAGAAGAAGCACCGGCCAACUACGUGCCAGCAGCCGCGGUAAUACGUAGGGUGCGAGCGUUGUCCGGAAUUAUUGGGCGUAAAGGGCUCGUAGGCGGUUUGUCGCGUCGGGAGUGAAAACUCGGGGCUUAACUCCGAGCCUGCUUCCGAUACGGGCAGACUAGAGGUAUGCAGGGGAGAACGGAAUUCCUGGUGUAGCGGUGAAAUGCGCAGAUAUCAGGAGGAACACCGGUGGCGAAGGCGGUUCUCUGGGCAUUACCUGACGCUGAGGAGCGAAAGUGUGGGGAGCGAACAGGAUUAGAUACCCUGGUAGUCCACACCGUAAACGUUGGGCGCUAGGUGUGGGACUCAUUCCACGAGUUCCGUGCCGCAGCUAACGCAUUAAGCGCCCC
rnacentral:rRNA from 1 species